GGGCGCUUGGUCUAGGGGUAUGAUUUUCGCUUCGCAUUUCGGAUAGUUCCGGAAGUGGAUUGUGAAAGGUCGUGGGUUCAAUUCCCACAGUGUCCA
rnacentral:tRNA from 1 species